AGUGAACGCUGGCGGUAGGCCUAACACAUGCAAGUCGAACGGCAGCACAGUAAUAGCUUGCUCUUACGGGUGGCGAGUGGCGGACGGGUGAGGAAUACAUCGGAAGCUACUUUUUCGUGGGGGAUAACGUAGGGAAACUUACGCUAAUACCGCAUACGACCUACGGGUGAAAGCAGGGGAUCUUCGGACCUUGCGCGAUUGAAUGAGCCGAUGUCGGAUUAGCUAGUUGGCGGGGUAAAGGCCCACCAAGGCGACGAUCCGUAGCUGGUCUGAGAGGAUGAUCAGCCACACUGGAACUGAGACACGGUCCAGACUCCUACGGGAGGCAGCAGUGGGGAAUAUUGGACAAUGGGCGCAAGCCUGAUCCAGCUAUACCGCGUGGGUGAAGAAGGCCUUCGGGUUGUAAAGCCCUUUUGUUGGGAAAGAAAAGCAGCAGGUUAAUACCCCGCUGUUCUGACGGUACCCAAAGAAUAAGCACCGGCUAACUUCGUG
rnacentral:rRNA from 1 species